CGGAGAUCCAGCGCUCGGUGGUAAUACCAGAGAGGAGGAACCAGCACGGCGCAGGGCAGCCGGCAGGGACCGAGACAGAAGAGCUUCAGCGCUAAGAGGAUUGGCCCUGAGCGAGGACAGACUCUUCACGGACGGCGGGGAGAGCAGCGGCUCCACCAGGGGACGGCGCCGACCCGCAGUGGCCGCCCAAGGGAGACCCCGACCGUCGGCCGAGGUACCACUAAAAUUCUCUCCUGGCUGGUGAGGAGCUGUGAUGCUGGCAUCAGAGCGUGUGAUUAGGGGCUGGCUCUGGAGUCAGACUCCCUCCUAGCCGGCUCCUCCUGAGACGGCUGUGUGCUUCAGCUCCCUCAUCUGUAACCCAGGGCAGCACCCGCUCCUGCGUCCACUAGGGGUCACGAGGACACAAGAGCACAAUGCCUGGCCCCGGAUAAGCCAGCAAUAAAUAUCAGAUAUUAUUAUUACAACUUGUGUUUGGAGGGUCUUCUCUUCUU